rnacentral:lncRNA from 1 species
UUUCUGGGUUUGGGUGGGUGUUUUUUUGCACUGAGGUAUAUGGGAGCAGUAAGUGGUCGUGGGAGUGUUGGAAAGAUGUUUAUACCACCUCAAAGUUAAGGCUAUUACAAGUGCAUGAUGUUCCAGUGUGACUGAAGGGACAUUUAUUUAUUUGAAGUUUUACCAACUACAAUGAGAGAGCGCCCAUCUAAUGCUCUGAGCACUUUGGGCAAGCUUUUCUAAACAACACACAAAUGGAUAGAUGCAUCCUUCACCCUGAUCAUCCAGUGGCUGCAUAAACGUAUCAAGAACCAUCAAGAGAGAAUCCGAAGUCUCUUCAAGCUGGCACCUGUACACCUCUAAUCACUGUGUGUGUGGACGCACAGGGCGCAUGUCAACUGCAGUACGGCAGCAGGAGGAUCUCACCCAUUGUCUUACCGAUGUGCCCAGCCAAAUCGUGAUUUUUGUUUUCUUUCUUGCUAGUGGUAUUAUUUUUUAAAAUUAACAUUUAGUAUGCAGGGUAGAGCUGCUUAAACAAUACCAAUUAUUUUGCAUGGG